ensembl:lncRNA
UUCAAAUGACUUGGACCACCAUAGACUUGUCUUAGUGAAAUAGAGAAAGCCCAGUUUAGCAGUAUUACACUUCACGCAAUGAAGACUGUCCAACAUUCGGAGAUCAGGAAGACACAAUAGUCCGACACUCGUAAGCUAGAAGUAAAGGGUGUGUAGAGAAAAGCAUGCAUUUAAGUGUGUGUGUGUGUUUGUACAAACGCAGUAUGCUGGAGGUGUGUGUGUGAUGUGACAGGUAGCCCAGCAGAGUAAGUGGGGGAGUGGGAUUUGGGGGCAUCAGAGAGGUCAGUGUCACGUGACCUCACACACAGCUGUGCCGUAGCACCACGCAGGUACAGUAGACGCUUUACAACGCAAGCUAACAAUAUAAUGCCAAGAACUAGGAGAAUAAUCUGAAAAAUGUCUUUCCUAUGGGGCAAAUAAUUGAAAAAACAACUGAUCUGGUAAAUUAAUGUGAGAGCAUCUCUUUCACUCCCCUGAAGUAAUGUCAAAAAAUGUUGGGGCACUUCGCAUGUCACAAAAACAUAGCGGUUAAAAACAGUAAAUGCUGGGUUGACUGUAAAAAAUGUACUAUACAUUCACGAAUAUCAUAUGAAUUUAGUUUUUCUCUGUGGUAUUUUAAACAUGUAUUAUCUGUUGGCACCGCCUCUUCCACUCCCCCAGUCCACGCUAUCCCAACCCUGUUUACACAACCCCAUUGUGUCUGCUACAGUCUGGAGACAAUAAUGUCCACACUGAAUCUUAAAGCAUCAUCAACAGCCACGUGAUAAUAAUAAACAUAAUCACGGAGUCAUAGGUGCAGUGUGUUUGUGCAGUAUACUAGUCCUUACACGUUAUUUAUAAGACGUACUGUAAUCCAUGAAAUGCUCAUCGGAAUAGCAAACACAUUCAAUCUUAAGGACAUUCCAUUCAAUCCUUUUCCUUCACGUUUAUUCCAAAACAUUAUUCUCAUUUAGUCCCAAUGCAUAAAGGCACUGUGGGAGACGUACAGGGUGUAAGGCAGAGAGGAGCACUAUUUGUACUACAGCUGACAGGGCAUCCAUGCACGACCACAGGCACAGCCAACGCUACUCACAGCUCAGAUGACAGACGCUACUCAGAGCCCUGCUGAUGCCACGGGGGCUUCCACCAGCCUCUUUAUGAUCAACACCUGUAGAAAUAGUCUGAUGUUUUUUAAAGAUGUGGAGAUUGUAAAGACCAAACAGAAUUGUGACUGGGAAACAGUUAUCAGAAGAAUCCCACUUGGAAAAGUAAGAUAGUUCCAGCCAGAUGUGGAUCCUUCCUCCAUCCCUGGGGAGGUGACCGCGCCAUUGUUGACCGUUGGCACACUUCCACUGCACAGUGCCGCGCAGUCCACACUCGACUCAGCCCGCUCUGUUCUGGUUUGGGGACGGUCCAUGCCACCUUUCUUUUGGUACCACCUCGGUUCGAGGUUCCAUGUGACCUUAGCCAAUACAAACAGGCAUGGGUUGAGACAAUGCAAACCCCCCAUUGGUUGGGGAGAAUCGUCACUGGACAAUUUGCAUCAAUGUCCUCAAUGGCAACUGCAAUUUCUGAAAGUUACUCAACUUUUUUUAAAUUUUUACCACCGCAGGACUGCGCUGACAGUGCAUCCACUACGCGCCUGAGCGUUCUGAUGGAGCCGAACCACGCGGUGGAAGUGAGGCACGUGUCACAUUGUGGGAUAAUUUAAGCACAUGGCUCACACAAGGCUCGGUAAUUGUCAGCAGAGGUUCUGAGCAGUGCUGUGCAAGCAUUAUCAGACCGUAGAGAAAAACGGUGAAUGAUUUGAGAUAAGCAGUAGGCAGUAAAACUAUCUACAAAAAGUUAAGCUACGUUAUUAGGAAAGUUGGGUACAAAGAGUAAAAAGAGCAAGGCAGAGUGUGAACCCACACUAAAGGGUAUAAUAUGCAACGUAAAACACGCUGCUAAUAAUACAAACACAGAAAAGCUCACAGUAAUAUGUUGAACCAUCACAACCUUCCAAAAGCACUCGUCACGACACUAUUCAAGCUCCUAAAGCUAACUACUGGUGCUAACUUCAUCUACAUGGCUAAAGAACACUAGAUUUGUAUCUUUUUCUAGUAACUGGUUCAAAAUCUCCUUCAGACAUCAUCUUUAACAAUUAACUCAAUUUUUCACUGUUAAAAAUAUUGUUCCAUUGUGGCCACUUUGUCCUCAAAAACGCGUCAAAGUCAAUGCGCCGAUGCAAAUGCUCCAAUACGCUUUAGUUUAAAUGGUUCAGCGAUAAUCAUUCUUACCAAUUAUUGCAUUAUUUAUGAGUUAAUGUAUUAAGAGAUACACAGUUUCUUACUGGAGCGUGACCCCAUAGUGAUAAUGUAUUUUACAUGCAGAUUAUGCUCUUAUUAAACGACGUUUGGUAGUCAGAAGAAAGGCAGCUAUGUGUGACUUAGCUAUCUUAUUUUUUACAUGGAAGGGAAUGCAUUUAUCAUGAAUGUUAACAGGGAACCUCACAAGGAUUGCUUUAAAUUGUUGUACGCAAUUAAUGGCCCGGCUACAAUAUCAAAAAUCUGUUUUGUAUUUUGCGUAGUGCUACUUUCAUACAUCUUAGCAUACCGUUAUUUUCCCUUAUCACACUGAUGUUGAUCUAAAAUGGCCACUGUGGGAAGACACAUUUCACACCUCUUCUGCAAACAUUGACACUUCAGUGCUAACACAAUAAAACACAGUACACACAAUAUUCUGAACGUAGCAAACGGUAGCGUUAGCUAAUCAUUUUACCACCCCCCCCCCAAAAAAACCUCAUCGAAUCUACACGAUUCACGUAGGUCACCUA